rnacentral:rRNA from 1 species
AUGUAUGUGUUCUGGGCAGAUGCCAUGAGUAGGAAGAAUUACAGUCACUUUGGUGCUAAUGGGGUGGUAUCAUUUGAUUCUACAUACACCACUAAUCAGUACAACAUGAUCUUUGCACCGUUUACAGGGGUCAAUCAUCACUUACAAAGUGUGUUUUUGGUGCAGCAUUCUUGCCGAAUGAGGAUGCCAAGUCAUAUGUUUGGUUGUUUGAGACCUUUCUUACAGCAAUGGGUGGGGCAGCGCCUAAACUAA